rnacentral:rRNA from 1 species
CCGGGCCCCUUAUCCGCUUUGUUGGUUGAGGUAACGGCUCACCAAGGCUCCGACGGGUAGCUGGUCUGAGAGGACGAUCAGCCACACUGGGACUGAGACACGGCCCACACUCCUACGGGAGGCAGCAGCAGGGAAUUUUGCACAAUGGGCGAAAGCCUGAUGCACCGACGCCGCGUGCGGGAUGAAUGCCUUCGGGUUGUAAACCGCUUUCAGGAGGGACGAAGCGAAAGUGACGGUACCUCCAGAAGAAGCCCCGGCCAACUACGUGCCAUCAGCCGCGGUAAUACGUAGGGGGCGAACGUUGUCCGGAUUUAUUGGGCGUAAAGAGCUCGUACGCGGCUCAGCAAGUCGGCCGUGAAAACCCGGGGCUCAACCCCGGGACGCCGGUCGAAACUGCUGUGGCUAGGGUUCGGUAGAGGAGAGUGGAAUUCCCGGUGUACCGGUGAAAUGCGCAGAUAUCGGGAGGAACACCAGUAGCGAAGGCGGCUCUCUGGGCCGAUACCGACGCUGAGGAGCGAAAGCUAGGGGAGCAAACAGGAUUAGAUACCCUGGUAGUCCUAGCCGUAAACGUUGGGCACUACGUGUGGCGGACUCAUUGACGUCUGCCGUGCCGCAGCUAACGCAUUAAGUGCCCCGCCUGGGGAGUACGG